GUAGCUCAGUUGGUAGAGCACAGCACUGAAAAUGCUGGUGUCGGCUGUUCAAAUCAGCCC
rnacentral:tRNA from 1 species